rnacentral:tRNA from 1 species
AGUAAGAUAAGCUAAAAAUAAGCUAGUGGGUUCAUACCCCAAAUAUGAGAUUAGACUCUCUUACUA